rnacentral:rRNA from 1 species
AGCAGCCGCGGUAAUUCCAGCUCCAAUAGCGUAUAUUAAAGUUGUUGCAGUUAAAAAGCUCGUAGUUGAAUUUCGAGACCGGUUUACUGGUCGUGCUUUUGUACGUACUGGUAUUAUUGGUUUCUCCUUUCUGACGAAUCUUAAUGCCAUUAAUUUGGUGUUUUGGGGAAUCAGGACUGUUACUUUGAAAAAUUAGAGUGUUUAAAGCAGGCUCACGCUUGGAUACAUUAGCAUGGAAUAACGGAAUAGGACGUUUGAUUCUAUUUUGUUGGUUUCUAGGAUCGACGUAAUGAUUAAUAGGGAUAGUUGGGGGCAUUAGUAUUCAAUUGUCAGAGGUGAAAUUCUUGGAUUUAUUGAGGACUAACUACUGCGAAAGCAUUUGCCAAGGAUGUUUUCAUUAAUCAAGAACGAAAGUUAGGGGAUCGAAGACGAUCAGAUACCGUCGUAGUCUUAACCAUAAACUAUGCCGACUAGGGAUCGGAUGAUGUUAAUUUUUUAAUGACUCAUUCGGCGCCUUACG